CCCUUAGAUGUUCUGGGCAGCACGCGCGCUACAAUGGUCUUCGCAAACGGAUGCAUUCUCGAAGGAGAAUGCCAAUCUUGGAAUCUAUGCCUUGGUCGGGACAGUUGCUUGCAAUUUUUCGACUCGAACCAGGAAUUCCUUGUAAUCGUGAUUCAUCACAUCACGAUGAAUACGUCCCUGCCCUUUGUACACACCGCCCGUCCCUCCUACCGAUCGAAGAGUUAGGUGAAUUGUUUUGAUCGAUAAGAUUUGACUAUGGUCAACUCUCGUUGUGAAAUUCUGUGAAUCUGACUGUUUAGAGGAAGGAAAAGUCGUAACA
rnacentral:rRNA from 1 species